AUUGAACGCUGGCGGCAGGCCUAACACAUGCAAGUCGAACGAGUGGCGGACGGGUGAGUAAUGUCUGUGAAACUGCCUGAUGGAGGGGGAUAACUACUGGAAACGGUAGCUAAUACCGCAUACCAUCGGAUGUGCCCAGGUGGGAUUAGCUAGUAGGUGGGGUAAUGGGUCACCUAGGCGACGCUCCCUAGCUGGUCUGAUAGGAUGACCGGGCACACUGUAACUGAGACACUGUCCAGACGCCUACGGGAGGCAGCAGUGGGGAAUAUUGCACAAUGGGCGCAAGCCUGAUGCAGCCAUGCCGCGUGUGUGAAGAAGGCCUUCGGGUUUUAAAGUUCUUUCAGCGGUGAGGGGUUACCCGCAGAAGAAGCACCGGCUAACUCCGUGCCAGCAGCCGCGGUAAUAC
rnacentral:rRNA from 1 species